rnacentral:lncRNA from 1 species
ACAGCGUUGCGGUCAGGGCAGAGCAAAAAAAACAAGACAUCAGUAUUGCCGAGUAUUUGCUAGUACCUGUUCCCAAGCUAAGAUCUCUCAUUGAAGUUGGAGCUCACUGAUUCCACUAGACUGUCUGGUCAGCAAGCAAUCACCAGGAAUCACCUGUAACCGUAUCUGCCUGCCGUGACACUCACUGCCGCCUUGAAUUAUCUAUCUAUCUAUCUAUCUAUCUAUCUAUCUAUCUAUCUAUCUAUUUAUCUUUUUAUUUUCACACAAGCAGUUGGGAAUAUAACUCAUAUCCUCAUGCCCACGCAUCAAGCAUGUUCCUAACUGAGCCAUCUCCCCAGCUCUUGGAGUUUCUGGGUUUGUUCGGAAGCCUUCUCCCUCCUCCAGAAAGAGGAGUGGAACAGGCACAUGUGAAUUCACUCUGUUGAGCCUAGAAGAGGUGAAAGAGAAAGGCUGCCCAUUUUCUAGAUGUUCCUCAUGAGCUAUAUGCGUGUACCACGAAGGCUUGCUUGGACCCAGAGCUAGGGCUGACCUAACUGAGAUGCUACCCAGGGGUUUCUGGCUCACUGUGGCCACCAUGGCUCCACAAACCACCUACUUAUAACAAAAUAAAAAAUUUUCUACAAGGAUA